rnacentral:lncRNA from 1 species
CCACACUGGAAACACCUGCCCGCCCGCUGUGGACACUGCGGUGGGUAAUGGGAACCACCGCAGAUCACACACGGGGAAGGCCGGCGCCGAUCGGAUCCUCCUUGAUACGCUGCUGAGCCGCGUCCUCGCUGCUGGCUCCUCGGAUGCUUCGGCGGCCUCCUAGAGUGCGUCUGACUCGCCCCCUCAGCCGCAGGCCUCUUGGCCUUCCCUUCGUCCCUAGCCUCACGCUGCUCCUGGACCUCUGUCGCGCCGCUCUCCAUGAUGAGCGUGCGAUCCACCACCUCCCAAUAGGUUUGGAGGUUAGAG